rnacentral:rRNA from 1 species
AUUGAACGCUGGCGGCAUGCCUAACACAUGCAAGUCGAACGAGUGGCGGACGGGUGAGUAAUGUCUGGGAACCUGCCCGAUGGCGGGGGAUAACUACUGGAAACGGUAGCUAAUACCGCAUACCACUGGAUCGGCCCAGAUGGGAUUAGCUAGUAGGUGGGGUAAAGGCUCACCAAGGCGACGAUCCCUAGCUGGUCUGAGAGGAUGACCGGCAACACUGGAACUGAGACACGGUCCAGACUCCUACGGGAGGCAGCAGUGGGGAAUAUUGCACAAUGGGCGAAAGCCUGAUGCAGCCAUGCCGCGUGUAUGAAGAAGGCCUUCGGGUUGUAAAGUACUUUCAGCAGGGAAGCGGUACUUGCAGAGAAAGCACCGGCUAACUCCGUGCCAGCAGCCGCGGUAAUAC